UACGUAGGCAGCAAGCGUUGUUCGGAGUUACUGGGCGUAAAGGGUGUGUAGGCGGUUGUUUAAGUUUGGUGUGAAAUCUCCCGGCUCAACUGGGAGGGUGCGCCGAAUACUGAAUGACUUCGAGUGCGGGAGAGGAAAGUGGAAUUCCUGGUGUAGCGGUGAAAUGCGUAGAUAUCAGGAGGAACACCGGUGGUGUAGACGGCUUUCUGGACCGUAACUGACGCUGAGGUGCGAAAGCGUGGGGAGCAAACAGG
rnacentral:rRNA from 1 species